GUGAGCGGGAGGUAACUGCCACUUCCCCUCAACACGCCUUAUUCUUCCACCACACCCCCCUUGCUCCCGCCCAUCACCACCGCCACCACGGGAGCGCGGGAUGUUGGUCUGAAAGGUUUCAAGCUGUUCAGCAGUCACUGUUCACCGGACUGAAGACGAGGUGUGAGCAGGUCCGAGUCUGGAAGAGAACCGAACUGGGGGCCAAAGUAGCGGCCCUGCAAGAAGGGGCGGGGCAAAGUACCGCGAAAAGCUGGAGCGCGCACGACUUCGAGCCGCGCGCACUUGAGAAGACUCAGAAGGCCCUGGCAGAAAGAUCUGACUAAGAAAGUGUUAACAAAGGGAAGGAAGAGCCCAGAAGAAAUUUCCAUACCUGCCAAGUGGGAAAUGAAUAAUGGCCACCUCUUGUUAAAGACUGGAGCAGUUGCCAGUAAUAGUGCCUGACACAUGGCAUGGGCAGCACGUCUUGAAGGAUCUUGGCAAUCAGAGGGAGGAAGAUGUGUUUAUUGAAAAGGUGUGAUGAAAGCAAAAAGGGACAGCAAGGAUCAUGGCCCAUACUUUUCAACUCUCUCUGUCCACCUGCAGAUGACUCCACUCCAUGUACUGAUUCCACAAAUGUGGAGCCCUUGUCCUCAGGCCAAAGAAACACAGAAACAGCUUACAACACAACCCAAGCCAUGGAGAGAGGCUCUGUAAGGCCCCUAGGCUCAAAACUCAGAGUCCAAGCCUUGACCAGGAGGAUAUUAUGAAAGCUGUUUUGGAUCAACAGCCAGGAGGAGUUUGCUUCACACUCACAGUGAACAUCUUAUGCUUUUACUUAGGAAGAGGAAGAAGAAAUGUUUACAGUCUUACUUUGAACUUUAAAAAAUUCCUGUAGCAAUCAUCUCUUGAUUCAGAAAUUAUAAAUAAAACUGUUUUAUCAUCCAGUGUUACUGAAAACAUUGUGUCCUAUGAUGUUUUAGUCUCUGUUGUUCCAGGAAUUUAUUGUUUUGCAUACUUGUAAGCAAAAAAGCUUGUAAAUCCAAAGCCUAAAUAUUUAUUGUCCUACACCAAUUGUUCUGAUCUCCAACUUCCCUUCAAAUUUUGCAUUUAUCAAUGGAUGAGGUAGGCUUGCUGUGUUGUUUAAAUGGACAAUACCAAAUACACCUGGAUCUGAAACUGAUCCUGACUAUAAUUUUAAAAGGCAUAUAAAUGAAGCCUGCAUGUCUUUAGUUGUAAGAUGGACAUUAAAAAAGUACCUAACUUGUAGGGCUGUUACAGGAUUUAUAUGAGAGAAUGAAUGUAAAGGCUGGUGUAGCAGAGAAUACUAUAUAAUUCACCAUUUCUGUUUCCUUUUCAUGAACUUGAGACAUAUUUUCAGCCUUCCUUGUAUCAGUUUGGGGCUGUGUGACUGGGCUCUGGCAUGGACUGUUUCCAGGCCUGGCUACCAUAGAGGACAUGUCCCAAAUCUUGUGGUUUUAAUACACAGGAGAGUGCCCUAACCCACAUAGGACACUAUGUAAGCAAGAAACCAACAUUUAUUUGUAAAGAUUUAGGGUUUCUGGCCUACCCUAAUACACUUCAUAUUCAUAUAUAAAUAAAUAGUAAAUGGUCCACUUA